CUGCGCGGGUCGGGGGAAGAAUACACAGCUCAGGGAGAGAACCCAUACAAUGAAAAACGCAAGUACUCGUUGUUUUUCUGCUUCGCUCGAUCCCAGAAGUCGCCGCUGCAACGGACCCGCGUCUAAAGCUGCUCUUUCCAAGCCUCAUAGUCCUGGUGUUCGCCUACACAGCUCCACUAGUGCGACUCAGAAGAGGAGGCGAUGAUCGGGCCCUGCACGGAGGCAGGGUGAUCUAGACAUGAGGUGCAACGCUGCGUGCAGUGCAGUAAAUCAAAUCUCUUCCUCUUCCACUGUUACUCACACAGAAACUAACUGUAUGACUCCACACACUGCAGAUGCAAACAGAAGGCAUUUGGAGGCUGGGCCUCAGCUUUGAGCUGACAGAAGGUGAUGACACCCAGUUUAGUGCAUAAUUCCCUAAUCGCACUUGACAAUCCACACAGGGAUAUUUUGUUACAGAGAGAUACAAUGUGGACUAGGUUUUGAAAAGAAUCUGAUGCCAUUGCAAGGUCCUCAGAUGCCAUUGAAAGGUGAAGGAAGCUGGGCCCCUCCUUCUCUUUUUCCUUCAAAAGUUUCAUCAAAGGCAGAUUCUUCCAUCAACGCACCUUCACAAGAAUGUGUGCACCUAUCAUGCUUCUGGUACAUGAGGGCAUUUGGAAUGAGCACGGAGGAGUUACUCAAAAUUUAUGACAAAACACGUGUCUUCAGACUGUUCUUCAAUCUCGAUGCAUCUCUACAGCCCCAUAAUAUGAAACUGAAUUAAUUAUUAUAAUAUACUAAGGUCUAACUUCUUAUAAAUGUAGACCCAUUCCCUGAACUUCAUUAGAAGAGUAAGGUUACGCAGGCUCGAAAUGUCUGAUCAUCUGAUGUGUAGUAAGAAUAUGUAAGGUCUCCAAAUGCACGAGGCUUGCCUGGGGCUCUGCAAGUGUUGUUUCCCUGAUAAAGAAGGUUUUGCACACACUCUCUGGAGGGAAGGUGAUUCACCAUACCAGGUUGAGACCCAGUACACUGCAGUGUAAGCAACUCAUGAAACUCGGUGGCACACUGUAUGCAAAUCCAGGCAUGACUCAUGCACUUAAUAUAGAAUUGCAAGUAGAUAUUUGCAAUAACUGAGCAGAACUUUGACAUCAUAUCUCCCUUUUCUGUGCAGAAGUACCACGCAGGAGCAAUCCUUUGGUUUUCAACCAAGUGCUCAGUCAGGUACUUCAUCCCAUACAUAUGCUUAAAGCAGGACAGGAGAGUGAUUUAAGCAAGCAAAUAAUUUUAAGCACAAGUUUAAGGUUUUACAUCACCUGCAGUACAUGCUUAGAUGACUUGCUAAAGUGAAGAAUGCCUUUUGUUUUCUGAGUUGGUUUUCCUCCAGCCUGGGGCAUCACAGGUUGUCUUUGCAGAGAACAAUCUUGGACAGAAAUGGGAGAGCCCUGUAAAUUUUCUGUAGCCACCACUAGACUAGAGAGCCCCAUUGUCUGAAUGUGUGGGGCUUCAGGAGUGCUCAGCACGGCUCAGCACCAGUCUGGGAGCAAGAGAGGGGAAGAGAUAGGGACAACAUUCUCACUCCCUAACUUUAGACACGUAAAUUCAGUGCCUGAAUUAGGAGUGUGAUUCCCAGCUGAGCAGUCAUGUACACUGGGAGACAGACAGGCUCCUCCAUAGUGUGACUCAGAAUAACCUUUGAAUCCUAUAGGUGCUCUGAAGGACCACAGCUAUUAAUUUUAAAGGUAACAUAAAUAAAUAUUCAGAGUACUAUAAUUAUCCUUCCUUGAAGAGUUCCAAAUUUGCUGCUCAAAAUCACAAGGGAAGCUUUACUGUGGUGCUUUCACUAGAGACCCCAGAUCCUGCAUUAACCGAGCCCCAUACACACUUUCCUGUUGUGUUACAAAGCCAUCAUUACUUACCUGUCUAGACUGUUCUAAGCUCCCUACAGAGUUAUGGCUAUCUUUUGCAUAAUAAGAGUAGUGUUAUUUUUCCAUUAGUGCAACUGCAGAAACACAGAAUUCUUUAGGAAAAUGUACCCCAGCCGUUAAAGGGAUUAGCAAAUCAACGAAUCUCCCUUCCUCCUCUAUCCCUCUCCAAAACAACCUGCAGUACCAAUACUACUGUGAUAAAAAAUCCAAGCUGAAAUUUAGCUUUAACCUCUGUUCUAGCAAAUUCGUGCUGCAGCUUCUUCCUUCUUGCUGCCAGAAAUUGCUAUGUUCUACCAUCAAAGAGACUUUACAUGGAGUCAUGUAAACAUGUAUGUAUAUUUUUUCUAUGUAAAAGUGAAAGCAAUGAAUUACACUAUCUGCUUAAGCAGUGUUUUUAAUAUCUAGAGGUAUUUUCAGAAAAGUUUCAUUCAAGUAUGGUGCACCACUUUGAGGUAGGGUAUAAGAAAUACAGUGCAAAAGAGGAGAAACUCAUAGCUACAGCUUCUUCCCAAAUCCUCGGUUUUCAGUAUAUAACUCACAAACUGUGAAUUAUCAUGAAGGCAGCUGAGCUCCCUGUUGAACUGUGGAACUGAACUUCGCUUUGCCUUCCCAGGUAAUUGUGAUGCUCUGCAUCCCACCACCAACAUUAUGAAGUAGAGCAGUAAUUUGCCAGGUCUGAUGGAGCUGGCAUAUGGCUCUCCUCUUUGCCUAACAUUUAUAGAUCUGUUUCACAUGAGCACUUUGUGCAUCAGCAUAUGCAAAGCUGCCUGCCCUCAGUUCUAAGCGAGUUUCCUUAUCAGAAUAUAUGGUACUGCAUUAGGCUGCAUGUUUAUGGUUUGAAACAUUGACUUGAUAAUGUGGCUGUAGUCAAACAAAAUGCUACAUGUAACAGCAGCCAAUUCAUUUGUUUUAGGGAAAGAAUAUGACAUCAGAAAGAAAGAGAUAUAUGCUUAGCUACAUUUGAUUGGAGGUAGUCAAAUGGCUGAAAUGAUAUAACCAUUAAGAUAUAUUUUCCUGAUAAACACCCACUUUCACAUAUUAUCUAUUUAUUUUUGUCUGGUAUCUUAAUGGAACUUGGAACAUGUUAGACCUAUCUUUUUUUCCAGUAGGCAUUUACUGCUUUGCUGGAAGCAAAAUUCCUGGUUCUUUCUGGUUACAUUAUCCUCACAAACUUCAAUAAGAGAAGAGAUAUUUUUAAUGAGUACCUGAGUAAUUAAAUAGAACAAUAUUUACAGAAAUUAUCUCUAUUAGUGCCUAGUGGGGUUGGAGUUUGAACUUUUUGUGUCUGCAGUUAGAAAUGUUAGCUAGCCAAGCAAUUGAUUCAGAGUAAAAUACACAUUUCUAGAGUUUUCUCUUUCUAAAACGCUGUUGUGAGCGGCAUGUCUCCUUGGGGCACUGGAACUGGACUUCCUGAAAGGAAAGACUAGAUCAAACUGAAAGGUUUUAGGCUCUGGAGGUACUCUGCAUAAAAACAAAGGUGGUGUUGCAUAAAAACAACUGGUUUUUUUCACUGUAAUUUUUCAGCUAUGACUAUUUUCCGAGCUGAACUAACUCAGAAGACAACUUUCCUUAGGUUUGCAGUGUUUGGAAAACUGCAGUGGCAGAGUCUCUCAGGGACAGCACAGCUCGUCCCGUUGCUCUGAUGCUCACGGAUUUAGGUGUCGCUGUUACCUCCACAGAGUGGUCUGUACCAAGUUACGGAAGAGCUCAAGAGCAAUAACCAGAUGUUCCCCCUUCCCAUGAUUGCGCUCUUUUAAUAAACAGACUAUGUUCUUUCCUUAAUUCUGACACUAAGAUAAUGCAGUAAUAAAUACAGUACUAGAGCCAGUA